CGACACUCCCUGCCGCCGGCCACACCUCCAACUAAGCUCCAAGCAUCAGUCCUUCCACUGCCCAAAGCUGAUACAACCUCUUUCUUAGCCUUCCCCAUCAUGACUUCCAGCGAUGCUUCUCUGUCGCUGCAAAUUCAAGGCUGACCCAUCCGCCGCCGACAACAGAGCACCGACCUCAAAGAAGAAUUCACGUCGGGUUCACCAGUCACGGCCUUGAACGAGUCCUCGUAGCUCAAAUACGAACCCUGCACCGAAAUUGCCCAACGUCUUUCACACCCAGAAUGCGCUGUGCGCUUCAUUUCACUGUCCUCCACCACUGCCGAUUCGCAGAAAUAAUUCAUCCAUAAUCUCGUCAACAUACUACCGUAUUGCCAACGGCCACCACAAGCGGCUUUCCAGACCUCGAAGAAGAAGACAUCGACUGCCCGAAACGCAGGUCACAGCCCCAGCAAAACACUGAAGAAACCGGCUGCCCACAGUAAGAAAAUCACUGAUUGUUGCAACCUCCAACAACAAAUCUCUGACUCAAACCGAAAAACUGAAUCAGAAAUUGCACCACUAACCUAAAAAAACCCCCGUCGAAAGAGGAGUCCCAAACAACUCUACGCUCACUGCACCCGAAUCCACGACUGAACUAAAAGAAAAUACACAGCUGAAAUCACCGAAACAAUUCCUCAACUGAAAUCACGACUUAAAAUGCCUCACUGAUCCUACACAAAGAAGAAAUCACCGAUAAUAGAACUAAACGGAGUGAGUUUGACCAGAAAUUUUGAACCCCAGAGAAAACCGUCAAUGAAAGAGUUUGCAAGUGUUGAACACGAGAGCAAGAGGUAU
rnacentral:lncRNA from 1 species